rnacentral:tRNA from 1 species
GCGGAAGUGGCGAAAUUGGUAGACGCACCAGAUUUAGGUUCUGGCGCCAUAGGCGUGAGAGUUCGAGUCUCUCCUUCCGCACCA